UGGGUUUAAGGGUGCGUAGGCGGCUUUUUAAGUCAGUGGUGAAAUCCUGCCGCUUAACGGUAGAAUUGCCAUUGAUACUGAAGAGCUUGAGUUCAGUUGAGGUAAGCGGAAUGUGUAGUGUAGCGGUGAAAUGCUUAGAUAUUACACAGAACACCAAUUGCGAAGGCAGCUUACUAAACUGACACUGACGCUGAUGCACGAAAGCGUGGGGAGCGAACAGGAUUAGAUACCCUGGUAGUCCACGCCGUAAACGAUGUUCACUCGCUGUUUGCGAUACACAGCAAGCGGCCAAGCGAAAGCAUUAAGUGAACCACCUGGGGAGUACGAUCGCAAGGUUGAAACUCAAAGGAAUUGACGGGGGCCCGCACAAGCGGAGGAACAUGUGGUUUAAUUCGAUGAUACGCGAGGAACCUUACCUGGGCUUAAAUGUAGAACGACAGAUUGUGAAAGCAGUCCUUCUUCGGACGUUUUACAAGGUGCUGCAUGGUUGUCGUCAGCUCGUGCCGUGAGGUGUCGGGUUAAGUCCCAUAACGAGCGCAACCCUUAUCGUUAGUUGCCAGCGGGUCAAGCCGGGGACUCUAGCGAGACUGCCACCGUAAGGUGUGAGGAAGGUGGGGAUGACGUCAAAUCAGCACGGCCCUUAUGUCCAGGGCUACACACGUGUUACAAUGGCCGGUACAAAGGGCAGCUACUUCGCGAGAAGAUGCUAAUCUCGAAAGCCGGUCUCAGUUCGGAUCGAAGUCUGCAACCCGACUUCGUGAAGCUGGAUUCGCUAGUAAUCGCAUAUCAGCCAUGAUGCGGUGAAUACGUUCCCGGGCCUUGUACACACCGCCCGUCAAACAAUGGAAGCUGGGGGUACCUGAAGUCUGUAACCGAAAGGAGCG
rnacentral:rRNA from 1 species